CAUGCGGGGACAUGGGAAUAAGAUUUGACGGCCGCCUAGACUUAUAAUUAUGAACAACUUCAAAUGGAUUUAGACCUAGAGAUCGAUUUACAAAAUCGUCACAUGCAAUUUAAACAGUAGGAAGGAUCAAAUUCCAAUUUCCUAGAGUUUCCUUGCAAAGAGCAUGAUUACACAAAUCAUUAAUACCCUUGGGUGGGAUAAGAGUAGAACACAUAACAUUUGACCGAGAGGUAUCGGGAACAAGGGGUACAAUACCUAGACUCAUAGGAAAAGUCCGAAUACUAUCUAAGGGGGUGUCCUCACUGUCAUCCAAUUCUUCAAGUUUAAGUUCAUAGAUUUGAUUUUCUAAUCGCUCAUCUCUCAUAUUCUUUUGUUCUUCAAUGAAUAAGGCUCGAUUAGAACAUUCAUAAAAAAUGUGGUCAAAGUCCUUAUAUUUGAAGCACUGCAAAUGAGAAGAAGUUAUUGAAGUUUCAAAAUCUUGACCUUUAUUGUCCAAUAGAGAAGGAGCAUUAGAUGGAGGAGGACCUAGAAGGGACUUAACAGGAGAAGGUGGUGUUGAUGAGACGAAAGGGGGAAUGUCACUACGCCUUCGAUACGAAGAAGGUCUUGGGAUAUCACAACCUUUACACUUAUUUUCCCAAAUGGGAGGAACAUUAGACGAGGAAGGCUCUAUGAUAGACUUAUGACGAGGUGGCGCUAAUGACAUCGACGAACGAUGGUGAUCAAGCU
rnacentral:lncRNA from 1 species